rnacentral:rRNA from 1 species
AUUGAACGCUGGCGGCAGGCCUAACACAUGCAAGUCGAGCGGAUGAAGGGAGCUUGCUCCUGGAUUCAGCGGCGCACGGGUGAGUAAUGCCUAGGAAUCUGCCUGGUAGUGGGGGAUAACGUCCGGAAACGGGCGCUAAUACCGCAUACGUCCUGAGGGAGAAAGUGGGGGAUCUUCGGACCUCACGCUAUCAGAUGAGCCUAGGUCGGAUUAGCUAGUUGGUGGGGUAAAGGCCUACCAAGGCGACGAUCCGUAACUGGUCUGAGAGGAUGACCAGUCACACUGGGACUGAGACACGGUCCAGACUCCUACGGGAGGCAGCAGUGGGGAAUAUUGGACAAUGGGCGAAAGCCUGAUCCAGCCAUGCCGCGUGUGUGAAGAAGGUCUUCGGAUUGUAAAGCACUUUAAGUUGGGAGGAAGGGCAGUAAGUUAAUACCUUGCUGUUUUGACGUUACCAACAGAAUAAGCACCGGCUAACUUCGUG